GAUGAACGCUGGCGGCGUGCCUCAAACAUGCAAGUCGAGCGGGGCUAUGUAAUACCGCAAGGUAGAACAUAGCCUAGCGGCGAACGGGUGAGUAACACGUGGGUAACCUGCCUGGAAGACAGGGAUAACGAUUCGAAAGGGUCGCUAAUACCUGAUAAUAUCCUUUCAUCGCAUGGUGAUAGGAAGAAAGGGGGAAACCCGCUUUCAGAUGGGCCCGCGUCCCAUCAGCUAGUUGGUAAGGUAAAGGCUUACCAAGGCGACGACGGGUAGCCGGUCUGAGAGGAUGUACGGCCACACUGGGACUGAGAUACGGCCCAGACUCCUACGGGAGGCAGCAGUUGGGAAUCUUAGGCAAUGGACGAAAGUCUGACCUAGCGACGCCGCGUGAGGGAAGAAGGCCUUCGGGUUGUAAACCUCUGUCAUGGGGGAAGAAGGUAAGUGACGGUACCCCAAGAGGAAGCCCCUGCUAACUACGUG
rnacentral:rRNA from 1 species